rnacentral:lncRNA from 1 species
UAAAAAUUGGAAAAAAUUGCAAUAGGGUCCCCUAAUUUUGGAUUUUUAGUAGACUUUACCAUAUCCUACAGUUUGUACUAGCGGAGGUUCCAAACCUUUGAAAAAUUAAUAAUUGAGGGAAAUUAUCCAUUUGACCGUUGGCCCAAAAAAAUUGAUUUUGACCAAAUAUAGUAAGGGCAGAAUGAUAAUUUUAUAAUUUUAACAUAAAAUAAUUUUAAAAACAAAAAGAAAAUAUAUAAAACAAUUGUUCACCUCAUUCCACCCCUAGAUAUAAAUAUAAUUAAAAAAAACUCGAGGUUCCCUGUUCAUUUCCCUCCUCACCCUAAACCAAAAACCGAUUCCAUGACCACAGCCUUCCCCACCUCCGCCUCCAUCCCAAAACAAAACCAAAAUUUACUUCAUCUCAAAUUCUUAUGCAUAAACAAAUGCAAAUAUAUAAAGAACUUACCAAUAUCCAAAUCUAAUUUUCACAUUGAAACACAAUAGUGCACUUGACUGUAUAAAUUCAAAGAAAAAACACAUAAACAUAGAUCAUAGAAUGAUCACUUUUUUGUACAAGUAAAAAAAGCCAAAGAUUGUGUAAUUAUCAAGACUGCUCAUCGAAGU